rnacentral:rRNA from 1 species
UACGUAGGGUGCAAGCGUUGUCCGGAAUUAUUGGGCGUAAAGAGCUCGUAGGCGGUUUGUCGCGUCGAAUGUGAAAACCCGGGGCUCAACCCCGGGCCUGCAUUCGAUACGGGCAGACUAGAGUUCGGUAGGGGAGUCUGGAAUUCCUGGUGUAGCGGUGAAAUGCGCAGAUAUCAGGAGGAACACCGGUGGCGAAGGCGGUGGUCUGGGCCGGAACUGACGCUGAGGAGCGAAAGCGUGGGGAGCGAACAGG